AGCAGAUUCCAUUUAACUGAAGUCGGGCAUGUAACUGCCGAUUCUUUAUGAAGCUUCUGACUUAGAACUUCAAUAAGCGUUCAACCAGGGAGUUUCGCAAUUUUUCUCAGCGCAAGCUCCAAUUUGGGACGAGUUAGUUUGACCCCCGCGCACCCCAUCUCUCUCAUGAAUGCCUCCCCUCUUCUCAAAUCUCUCGACUUCCAACCCAGAAUCCUCCCGCCUUCGUUCCUUUUCUCUCGAUAUCUCCGUUUAUUUGGUGCUCAUUCGGUAGAGAGAGCUAUAACAGAGCCUCUGAACUCCCUCCAAUGCGGGCAUCUGCUUCAAAUCGUCACCAACUCCAAAUCACUGGAGAAAGGGCGGAAACUCCACGCCCACAUGGUCUCCUCCGGCGUCCUCCUAGACAACACCUAUCUAAGCACCAAGCUAUGCGCUAUGUAUGCUAUCUGUGGGGGCAUGGCCGAUGCCCGAGUGGUAUUCGAUGGAAUAUCCCUGAAGAACCCCUUUUUGUGGAAUGUGAUGGUCAGGGGAUAUGCUUGCAAUGGUUUCCCCCUUAAAGCUCUUGUCUUGUAUCGUGAGAUGCUGAGAUCCGGCAAAAAGGCAGAUAAUUUCACGUACCCAUUUGUUCUGAUGGCUUGUGGUGAUCUAUUGCUCAUUGAAGUUGGUAAAAGAACUCAUUCUCGGAUAAUUGUUUGUGGGUAUGAAUCGGAUGUUUAUGUUAGUAAUUCUCUUAUCUCGAUGUACUCAAAAUUUGGAGAAAUGGAACUUGCUCAGGCGCUAUUUGAUAAAAUGCUGGCAAAAGAUUUAACCUCUUGGAACACAAUAAUUUCGGGUUAUGCGAAGAAUAAUGACUCGGGAAGGGCUCUAGCGGUCUUUGCUGUUCUGGCUAUGCGUGGGGGGGGAAUGGACCGAGCAACUCUUCUUAGCAUAUUGCCUGCCUGUGCCAAUCUGGCGGCAUUAAAGCAAGGAAAGGAAAUACAUGCUUACACGCUGCGAAAUAGUUUGGAAUUUGAUGAGUUUGUAGUUAAUGCUUUCAUUGAUGUCUAUGUAAACUCUGACUUUAUAGCUGGUGCGAGGUGUUUGUUUGAGAAGAUAAGUCGGAAAGACACAGUGUCAUGGAAUUCCUUGAUUUCUGGUUGUGCUCGUCAUGGUGAUGCUGUUGAAAGCUUAAAAUUUUUCCGUCGGAUGAACUCUGAAGGCAUGGUUCCUGAUGAGUUUACUCUUGUAUCAGCGCUUGGUGCUUGUGACAGGAUAGCAGCAUUGCAGUUUGGCAGGAGUUUCCAUGCUUAUCUCACUAGAAAGGGAUUUGAUAACAGGGUCAUCUUGGGGACUGCUCUUAUAGAUAUGUAUGCUAAGUGUGGAAGUUUAGAUUGUUCUCGUCAAGCUUUUGAUGAGAUGCCAAUGAAAAAUCUGGUUUCUUGGACUGCCAUGAUUUCAGGAUAUGGACUUCAUGGAAGGGGAAGGGAGGCUGUUGCUUGUUUCAAUGAAAUGAAGACAAAAAAUAUUGGAGCAGACAAGAUUACAUUCACCUCAGUUUUAUCAGCAUGUAGCCAUGCAGGACUGGUGGAUGAGGCUAAGGAGAUUUUCCACCAAAUGUCAAAGGAUUAUUCAAUAAGCCCCAGUUUUGAGCACUAUUCAUGUAUGGUAGAUGUUCUUGGAAGAGCUGGCCAUUUAGAUGAAGUGUACAAACUAAUUUUGGACAUGAAUGUGGAACCUAAUGUUGAUGUUUGGAUAGCUUUUCUUUCUGCUUGCCGCAUUCAUCACAAUGUUGAGCUGGCAGAAAUUGCUUCUCACAAUGCUUUUCAUCUUAACCCUAAGGGCAUUGGUCCUUAUGUUUCCCUUUCCAACGUAUAUGCUGUGGAGAAGAGGUGGAGUGAUGUAGAGAGAGUGAGAACCACAGCAAGGAUGAAUGGACUGAAAAAACCACCUGGUUGCAGCUUCAUUGAGUUGGAUAUGGAAAUUCAUAGGUUUUUGGUUGGAGAUAAGUCACACCCACAAUCCAAGACCAUAUAUGCCAAGUUGGAUGAAUUAAGACAACAAUUGAAGAAAGCUGGAUACAUCCCCGAUACCAGUUCAGUGUUUUAUGAUGUUGAGGAGGAUGUGAAGGAAAACAUGCUCUGGGAUCACAGUGAAAGGCUGGCCAUUGCUUUUGCUCUAUUAAAUACAUCUCCUGGAAUGACUAUUAGGAUCACAAAGAACCUUCGGGUAUGUGGGGAUUGCCACACAGCAACUAAACUAAUUUCCAAGCUUGUCAGUAGAGAAAUUGUUGUGAGGGAUGCCCAUCGGUUUCAUCACUUUCGCAAUGGAUCUUGCUCCUGUGGUGAUUAUUGGUGAACUUAUGCUUGAUGGCAAGUCAACUUUUAUUGAAGGAUCAGCAAAUUUCUGCGCCCUCCAAAAAGGGGCUGGUUAUCCACUCCAAUGGUGAGAUACUCUUCGUUCCUUGUGCCUGCUCUGUUGGUGUAGAAGAUAUCCGGGUCUUCCUUACCAAUAUCACGAACCCACUGAGGUAUCAGGGUGUUGACGAUGUCUCCUACAUUCCCACCACAUUGAUGGAAUGACAUGAUGACCUGCAACUUGAGCCCUUCUUCCCUGACCAUCUGGCACAACUGCCUCUUCUUGAGCUGAUUCCUGAGCUCUUCGGGCUUCUCCAAUACAUUCUCAGCUGCGACAACACCCAACUGUUGGAGAGGUUCAGAUCAAACAAGCAGAUCAUUGCUGCAACAGAAACAGUUGAUAAGAGAACUUACUGGGAGCAUCACAUAUACUGGAACGUAGUUGGCUAGCAUCUUCUCCUGUUGUGUGAGAAGGGUUGGCAUCUGCAUGGUUUGUGUUUGGAGAAAAAAGAAGUUAGCAUCUUCUCCUGUUGUGGUGAGUGCUUGCCCUUAUGCCUGCACUUCCUUCAGCAUUUAUUAUAAUAACUAAAGUUUAGAUUAUAAGAGAGAGAGAGAGAGAAGAUGAAAGUGGUUGAUAAGUAUGUGAUUGACUUAGAUCAUGAUGUUUAACAGAACAAAUGAAUGCUGUUCUUUCUCCAGGCUAGAAAGCAAUGUGGGUACCAAACCCAGUUGGCGUUUA